rnacentral:rRNA from 1 species
UACGAAGGGGGCUAGCGUUGCUCGGAAUCACUGGGCGUAAAGGGCGCGUAGGCGGCUUUAUAAGUCGGGGGUGAAAUCCUGGGGCUCAACCUCAGAAUUGCCUCCGAUACUGGCAGUCUCGAGUGCGGGAGAGGUGAGUGGAAUUCCCAGUGUAGAGGUGAAAUUCGUAGAUAUUGGGAAGAACACCAGUGGCGAAGGCGGCUCACUGGCCCGUAACUGACGCUGAGGUGCGAAAGCGUGGGGAGCAAACAGG